rnacentral:lncRNA from 1 species
AACCUGACUAGUAUCCAUAAGGAUGAGAGUUGGAUCCUUGGCCUUGCUCAUUGGGUUAAGGAUCUGGCAUUGCUAUGAGCUGUGGUAUAGGUCUCAGAUGUGGCUCAGAUCUGGCAUUGCUGUGGCUAUGGCGUAGGCCGACAGCUACAGCUCUGAUUUGACCUCCAGCCUGGAAACUUCCAUAUGCCAGAGGCGCGUCCCUAAAAAGAAAAUAAUAAUAAUAAUAAUUUGUACAAUUCAAUAAGUGAACUGCUAAUACUGGGGUAGAAAAUAAUGGACAACAGAAAAUGAUAAGUGACUUACAAAAUAAAAAAAUAUGUAUAGUUACUGUGCAUAGUAAAAUUAUUCAACAUUACGGCUAAUCAAAGAAACGCAUAUUAAGGUGAUGAAAUGACAUUUAUUUCUAUCAAUCUGCGGGUUUAGUGAAAUGGGCACAGCCAUGCACUACUUUGUAUAUUAGUACAACCUUUGGAAAAAUAAUUUGGGAACAUCCAUCCAAUUGUACCACAAUUUAAAAAUUAAAAAUUUGUGGUACAAUUUAAAAAUCUAACAAAUCUAACAAAAAUUGUACUUCCAAAUAUAUGCUGCUAUCUCUUGUCUCUUUUGUGAGGUCUUUUGUAUGACAGCCUUCGUGUCACUAUGUAAAAUGAAAAUUGGAAACAACCUCACUGUCUAAUCUUCAAGGACAGGUUAAGUAUGUUAGGAUACAGCACGCAAUAUCAUUCUAUAAGACCUUUAGUUAUUGUGUCUAAAUAUUUCCUUAUGUUCACCAAUAAAUGAAAAAGCAAGUUUCAAAAGUAUUAGGGUAUGAUUCUAUUUCUGUUAAAUUAUAUAUUUCAGAGAAAAGGGCUAGGAAUUGAUACGUCAAGUUGUCUAUUACCGUUACAUGUGGGUGGGUGGAAUUAUGCGUGUUUAUUUUGUUUUUUAUCCUACGCAUAUUUUUUUCCAUAAUGAUCAUAUGUGUUGGAUAGAGAGGAAAAAACUCAAAAUUUAUUUUUGUUUCCAUCCUGCAGAAGUUAUGUGAGGAGACCAAAUGACAUAUCUAGCCUAAGACAUAUUAUUACCUCCAACAAUACUUUUUUCAUCUAAAAAUUAUCUAUCCUACAGAUUCUUCCUUUCUAGAAUGCUUUUCACCCAUCUUAUUCAUGGGUCAUCUCAGCUGGUGAUGACUUUCAUAUCUCUCUAAGGGAUCAUAUAGUUUGUUUCUAUUCAGUAAAAUCUCCCAAUUACAAGUAAUGAAAUCAAACUAUUCUAAAUUAAGAUCUUUGGAAGGGGAAACCAAGUCAGUGAAUAGCUUAGUAUGAUUUAAAUGAAUCCCUGAAGAAAUAAAGCAGAGCCUUGGCUUUCAUCUUAUCCCCUGCCUUUGGAAUAAGAAUGUUAGAUCAGCCAACUUAAUGCUUAGGAAAACCAAAAAAGAAAAUCAAAUGUUCAGGAAAACCAAAAAAGGAAAGAAAACUUUAUUUUUAUUUACUUAUUUAUUUAUUUUUUAGGGCCACACCUGCACCAUAUGGAAGUUCCCAGGCAAUGGGUCGAAUCGGAACUGCAGCUGCCAGCCUACAUCACAGCCACAGCAAUGCAGGAUCUGAGCCAGUCUGUGAUCUACACCACAGUUCAUGGCAAUGCAGGAUCCUUAACCCACUGAGCGAGGCCAGAGAUUGAACCCAUGUCCUCAUGGAUCCUAGUUGGGUUCUUAACCCACUAAGCCAUGAUUGGAACUCCAUAUUUAAAAAAAUUACUUAUUUAUUUCUUGGCUGAAUCCAUGGUAUGAGAAAGUUUUGGGGCCAGGGAUGGAACCCAGGCCAUAGCAGUGACAACACUGAGACCUUAACUGCCAGCCCGCCAGGGAACUCCAGAAAAGAAAACUUUAAAUUCUAGUGGCCAUAACAAGGAUAAAGAUGCUCACUAAUGGCAUGUUUGCAGCAUUUAUCCAAAAGACAGUAGUAUGACCUAAAUAUGUUUAAAAUGAACAUCAGGAACAAUCUUGGAAGGAAAAAAGCAGACAUAACAUAUAGAUUCUGGAAUUGUCAAGACCUCAGAGAUUCACAGCUCAGCCCUGCAUCUUGCAAACUGUGAGAUUAUAGAAUGGCACAUAAGUCUGCUUGAGGGGAGAUUAUACCAAAGGAAAGGUGUAAUAAGUAUGAAAAUCUCAUUAAAUAUAUCAUGCACUAGACAAUUAAUAAACAUCAGUCUCCUUUAUUCCCAAGAGCUGAGUUAGAAGGAAGAGGAGGAGAAAGCAGGAAAUUCUCACCUCGAACCACAAUGGUCAGAAUUUCAGGCACAACCCUAAACAUGGUGGGGGAAACAUACAUGUAUUUGGAGGGAGGAAAACAGGUAAUGAUUGGGAAGAAGAGGGAUUUUUAAAUAAUUUUAACAUCCGAGAAUAAGAACGAAGAAAAAUAUAUGGUUAUAAAGAGCAGUGACAAGGAAGAUGUAGAGCUCAAGGAAUUGUUGGAACCCAUGGAUUAUUAUUUUUGGGAAUCAGCAGUUUCUCUCCCUGCCAUGCCUCCCCCUGGAUCAUUCCGAGGGAUCUUAGGUAUGUGGCUUAAUGGUUUUGCUAUUACAACAUGAGAAAGCAAUGCCUUCCUCUUUUUACCUAGUCAAAUGCUACAAAGACAAUAUAUUACGAUCUUUAAAAAUGUUUUGAGCUCAAUAGAAGAUAACACAAAGUAUCAUAGUUGUCAUUUGCAAUGUGGUUGAAGGUAUGAGUUUUAUCUUAGAACUCUGAAGAGAGAGACAACUCCAUCUUACUUCCAGUUUAAGUAGUUUGGAGGAGAUUUGAAAUUUUAGGCACUCUUGAAGCAUGAGAAAUGAAAAGGAAGUUUGAUUUAAGAAAAAAACAGUUUAUGAAGUGCAUGGUUGGAGCUGGGGCUGGCAGUCAGGAAAAUGGGAAUGGAUGUGUGGUAUGUACCUCGUACUGAGUGUGGUUUGAGAGAGUUAGUGUGAAUUAGAAAUAUCAUGAUGUGAAAUACAUCCACCACAAGGUCUGCUAUUGUGGGUUUGAGUUUGAAAUAUUGAAGUGUUUCUUUAGGAUCAAAGCUUUGGCAGGGUGAGGUGGGCAUGGGGACAGGUUCCAGUCUGGCUAGAAGGAAAAACUCCACAUUCUCCUCAGGAGACAUGUAGUCUGAGAAAAUGCUUUUGGUUGCUCAGUGUGUACGUGUUCACAUUUAUUUUGGAGUACUUUUUGAAAUUUCUUAAGUAAAAAUGCCUCUGCUUUGAAACAGGGCAAUCACGGUAGCUAUUAUUGCUGUUUCUCUGUCUCUCUCUGUCUUUGUCUCUGUCUAUCUGUCUCUGUCUCUGUCUCUGUGUGUCUCUCUCUCUCUCACACACACACACACACACAUCAGUAUUUACUCUUUGAUGCUUUGCUGUACCUGCCUUUGGGUGCACACAGUAAGUUGGAAAGAAUCCUUUUGAGGUCUACUUUGAGCUCCUUACAUGAACUCUCUGGAGGAGAAAGGCAUGCCACAGUGAAUUCCAGAACUUUUCUUCUACCAUAAGUAUGGCUAGUUUUAUUUGAAGUCAAAAUGGCAAGUGAAGAAUGAAGGAUGUUUCCAGUAUUUAGAGAAGGAAGAGGGGACCUGGACAGACAUAGGCCACUCAGGGCCAUGUGCCUUGCUGCAUCUCAGGGCCAAGACAGUGCUGCCACUUGGCUGCAUCACUCAAGGAACAACCUAUUGUGAAGGACAAGCCUGAGCAUUCAGGCCAGAUGUUCAUGGGAUCUUGCACCUUCCCAGGAAAUUAAUUUCAGGAUAAAAGCAAAGCAGAUGACUGGCAAAGGCUCCUGUGAUGGAUAUUGAAAAUGUCAAGGAACAAAAGACAUAGGAAAUAAGAGUUCCCUGUGGAUGCAGCUCUCCCAGCUGUAUCUGAGAAAAGUGAGGCCACAUCCCAUUCCCUGCCACAAACCCACCACUCGUUCUGAGAGAGUGAAAUCCAGGAGAGGAUUUGGCCCUGUUUCCUAUAUGCCAACUGAAAUAGCAGUAGGGAUAGAUAGUUCCCCAUUCCCAGGACGCCAACCCUUCUUUUCUCCCUCCAAAUGGAAGUCUUUGGGUGGAGCAAAAGCUUUUCCCCAAACAAGGGCCAUAGAUGGCCAAAUUCCUUGAGGCAGGGACUAGAGGUUAUUUAUACUUGUAUUCCUAUUUCCAAGCAGUGGGACCCCCAUAUAGUGUUUGAUAAAUGUUCGUUUGCUGAACGCACAAACUGGAGUAAAGUGUACGUGUGUUUGGGUGGUUGGGGAGGAGGGAAUUCUGGAGCAACUCCUCUGGGUCAGGGGCCGAGCACAGGACUAUGAUCUUUAUAUGAGCUGUCUCACUCACUCCUUCUACCAGUGCUACAAGAGAGGUCACUGGAACUCCUCAGAAGAUGGAGGCACAUGGAGAUUCAUUUAAGUUAUUGUGGAUUUGUAUUUGAAUCGAGAUCUGUCCACCCCAAAGCAUGGACUCCUUUCAUAUCAUGGUGAUGGAGAGUCUCAUUGAUUGUAUCCUCUCAGUCAAUGUGUGAAUCUUACAAGGUGUGAAGUUGGGUAACCCCUUUACUAUACCAUUUUAGAGAAGUGCCUCUUUCUGGUUGAUAGGCGAAUCUAUUCUACAUUCCUCUCUGAAGGAGCCCAUGGACUCUGAAUUAGUGUGGAGUAACGUAAAUAUUACUGAAGUUGAAUCUUUGGAUGUACUUCUAGCAUUUUCUGUAACUGGAUAUGGUACCAUGUGAAUCAGUUUGCCUUUCUGAGCUUCAGUUUGUUCAGUAGUCAAACAGGAAUAUGUAAUAUUGCCUGUGUUUUCACCACAGAGAAUGAUCUUGAAUCAAGGAUUAAAUUAGAUGAAUUUCAUGAAAGAAUUUGAAAUCUGCUAAAUUGUUAAGGUCAGAGGCACUGUCUUUUAUCUUUACAAGCCCUGAAACACCUGGGAAAAUGCUCAAUAAAUUUGUGAAAUAGAGGAAGUAGUGUAGCUUCAUACUCAAAUACAAGAUUUCCCUUUGUCAGGGCAGAAGAUCUAAAUACUUUUCCAAAAAAGGCAUACAUAUGGCCAAGAGGCACAUGAAAAUAUGUUCAACAUUGCUAAUUAUUAUAGAAAUGCAAAUCAAAACUAAAAUGAGGUAUCACCUCACACCAGUCAGAAUGCCCAUCAUCAAAAACUCUACAAAAAAAUAGGAAUUCCCACUGUUACGGUGCAGUGGGACCAUAACUACGAGGUUGCGGGUUUGAUCCCUGGUCUCACUCAGUGGGUUAAGGAUCCAGCAUUGCUGUGGCUGUGGUGUAGGCCAGCAGCUGCAGCUCCAAUUUGACC